rnacentral:rRNA from 1 species
AUGAACGCUGGCGGCGUGCCUAAUACAUGCAAGUCGAGCGAACGGACGGGAAGCUUGCUUCUCUGAUGUUAGCGGCGGACGGGUGAGUAACACGUGGAUAACCUACCUAUAAGACUGGGAUAACUUCGGGAAACCGGAGCUAAUACCGGAUAAUAUUUUGAACCGCAUGGUUCAAAAGUGAAAGACGGUCUUGCUGUCACUUAUAGAUGGAUCCGCGCUGCAUUAGCUAGUUGGUAAGGUAACGGCUUACCAAGGCAACGAUGCAUAGCCGACCUGAGAGGGUGAUCGGCCACACUGGAACUGAGACACGGUCCAGACUCCUACGGGAGGCAGCAGUAGGGAAUCUUCCGCAAAGGGCGAAAGCCUGACGGAGCAACGCCGCGUGAGUGAUGAAGGUCUUCGGAUCGUAAAACUCUGUUAUUAGGGAAGAACAUAUGUGUAAGUAACUGUGCACAUCUUGACGGUACCUAAUCAGAAAGCCACGGCUAACUACGUG